rnacentral:rRNA from 1 species
AACGCGAAGAACCUUACCUGGGCUUGAACCGCACAGGACCAUCCCUAGAAAUAGGGACUUCCCGCAAGGGACCUGUGUAGAGGUGCUGCAUGGCUGUCGUCAGCUCGUGCCGUGAGGUGUUGGGUUAAGUCCCGCAACGAGCGCAACCCUUACUCGUAGUUGCCACCCGCAAGGGGGAACUCUACGAGGACUGCUCCGGAUAACGGAGAGGAAGGUGGGGAUGAGGUCAAGUCAGCAUGGCCUUUAUGUCCAGGGCUACACACGUGUUACAAUGCGCGCUACAAACCGUCGCUAACCCGCGAGGGGGAGCCAAUCGGAAAAAACCGGUCUCAGUUCGGAUUGCAGGCUGCAACUCGCCUGCAUGAAGCUGGAAUCGCUAGUAAUCACGUAUCAGAACGACGUGGUGAAUACGUUCCCGGGCCUUGUACACACCGGUACUA